UACGUAGGGGGCAAGCGUUGUCCGGAUUCAUUGGGCGUAAAGAGCGUGUAGGCGGCCAGACAGGUCCGUUGUGAAAACUCGAGGCUCAACCUCGAGACGUCGAUGGAAACCGUCUGGCUAGAGUCCGGAAGAGGAGAGUGGAAUUCCUGGUGUAGCGGUGAAAUGCGCAGAUAUCAGGAAGAACACCCGUGGCGAAGGCGGCUCUCUGGGACGGUACUGACGCUGAGACGCGAAAGCGUGGGGAGCGAACAGG
rnacentral:rRNA from 1 species